AACCGAAGUUAUGAAACAGUGUGGUUGGAUAGUUUGUCAUUUGUAAAUCAACAUGGCUAGCAAAGCCAUUUUUGUGGUACUUUUGGUUGGAUAUUUCUACGUAUCCGAUACGCACGCAACCACAACAACAGGUCCGACAACCACGGCUCCGAUGACCCCAACAGCAGCUCCAACAACCACAACCGCAGGUCCAAUAACCACAACUCCAACAACCACAACUGCAGGACCAACAACCACAACAGUAGCUCCAACCACCACGACAUCAGUUCCAACAACCACAACAGCAGUUCCAACAACCACAACAGCAGCUCCUACCACUACAACAGCAGCUCCUACCACUACAACAGCGGCUCCAACAAUCACAACCGCUGUUCCAACAACCACAACAGCAGGUCCAACAACUACAACACCUGCUCCAACCACCACAACAGCUGGUCAAACAACUACAACCGCAGGUCCAACAACCACAACUGCAGGACCAACAACCACAACAGUAGCUCCAAUCACCAUGACAGCAGUUCCAACAACCACUACAGCAGUUCCAACAACCACAACAGCAGCUCCAACAACCACAACAGUAGGUCCCACAACCACAACAGCAGCUCCUACCACUACAACAGCGGCUCCAACAAUCACAAUCGCUGUUCCAACAACCACAACAGCAGCUCCAAGUACCACAACAGCAGCUCCAAGUACCACAACUCCAGUUCCAACUACAACAACAGCACCUCCAACAACCACAACUGCAGCUCCAACAACAACAGGCCUGGGUCCACCAACCACAACAGCAGCUCCAACAACCACAACAGUGGCUCCAACAACCCCAGGCCCGGGUCAACCAACCAAAACCGCGGCAACAACACCGACAACUGCUGCACUAACGACAACUGCUGCACCAACAACGACAACUGCUGCACCAACGACAACUACUGCUGCAACAACGACAAUUGCUGCAUCAACAACGACAAUUGCUGCAUCAACAAUGACAACUGCAGCACCAACGACAAUAACUGCUGCACCAACGACAACUGCUGCACAAACGACAACUGCUGCACCAACAAUUGCUGCAUCAACAAUGACAACUGCAGCAUCAACGACAAUAACUGCUGCACCAACAUUGACAACUGCUGCACAAACGACAACUGCUGCACCAACAACGACAACUGCUGCACUAACGACAACUGCUGCACCAACAACGACAACCGUGGGUCCAACUACCACAACAGCAGCUCCAAGUACCACAACUCCAGUUCCAACUACAACAACAGCACCUCCACCAACCACAACUGCAGCUCCAACAACAACAGGCCUGGGUCCACCAACCACCACAGCAGCUCCAACAACCACAACAGCGGCUCCAACAACCACAACAGCACUUCCAACAACCACCACAGCAGCUCCAACAACCACAACAGCUGCUCCAACAACCACAACAGCAGCUCAAACAACUUCAACAGUGGCUCCAACAACCAUAACAGCGGCUCCAACAACCACAACCACGGCACCAACACUGACAACUGCUGGACCAACGACAACUGCUGCACAAAAGACAACUGCUGCACCAACAACGACAAUUGCUGCAUCAACAACGACAACUGCAUCACCAACGACAAUAACUGCUGCACCAACAUUGACAACUGUUGCACGAACGUCAACUGCUGCACAAAUGACAAUUGCUGCACCAACAACGACAACUGCUGCACCAACGACAAUUUCUGCACCAACAACGACAAUUGCUGCACCAACAACGACAAUUGCUGCAUCAACAACGACAACUGCAGCACCAACGACAAUAACUGCUCCACCAACAACAACUGCUGCACCAACAACUGCUUCACUAACAACGACAACUGUUGCACCUACAACAACAACUGCUGUACCAACAACAACAAUUCCUGCACCAGCAACGAUAAUUGCUGCAUCAACAACAAUAAUUGCUGCACCAACAUUGACAACUGUUGCACCAACGACAACUGCUGCACAAACGACAACUGCUGCACCAACAACGACAACUGCUGCAAAAACGACAACUGCUGCACAAACGACAACUGCUGUACCAACAACGACAAAUGCUGCACAAACAACAACUGCUGCACAAACGACAACUGCUGCACCAACAACGACAACUGCUGCACCAACAGCGACAAUAACUGCUGUACCAACAUUGACAACUGUCGCACCAAUAACGACAACUGCUGUACCAACACCAACCACUGCUACACCAAUGACAACUGCUGCACCAACAACUGCUUCACUAACAACGACAACUGCUGCACCAACUACAAUAACUGCUGCACCAACAACGACAACUGCUGCAGGAACAACAACAACAACUACUGCACUAACAACAACAACUACUGCAUCAACCACAACUGCUGCACCUACAACGACAACUGUUGCACCUACAACAACAACUGCUGCAUCAACAACGACAACUGCAGCACCAACGACAAUAACUGCUGCACCAAUUGUGACAACUAUUGCACCAACGACAUCUGCUGCACAAACGACAACUGCAGCUCCAACAACAACAGGCCUGGGUCCACCAACCACAACAGCAGCUCCAUCAACCACAACAGCGGCUCCAACAACCACAGGCCCGGAUCAACCAACCACAACAGCAGCUCCGACAACCACAACAGCUGCUCCAACAACCACAACAGCAGUUCCAACUACCACAACAGUUCCAACUACCACAACAGCAGCUCCAACAACUUCAACAGUGGCACCAACAACCAUAACAGCGGCUCCAACAACCAUAACAGUGGCAACAACACCGACAACUGCUGGAUCACCGACAACUGCUGCACAAACGACAACUGCUGCACCAACCACGACAACUGCUGCACCAACGACAACUGCUGCACAAACGACAACUGCUGCACCAACAACUGCUUCACUAACUACGACAACUGCUGCACCAACGACAACAACUGCUGCACCAACAACGACAACUGCUGCACCAACAACGACAACUGCUGCACCAACAACGACAUUUGUAGCACCAACAACAACAACUGCUGCACCAACGACAACAACUGCUGCACCAACAACGACAACUGCUGCACCAACAACGACAUUUGUAGCACCAACAACAACAACAGCUGCACCAACAACAACUACUGCACAAACAACAACUACUGCAUCAACCACAACUGCUGCACCUACAACAACAACUUUUUCACCUACAACAACAACUGCUGUACCAACAACGACAAUUGCUGCACAAACAACUGCUGCACCAACGACAACAACAGCUGCACCAACAACAACAACUUCUGCACCAACAACAACUACUGCACAAACAACAACUACUGCAUCAACCACAACUGCUGCACCUACAACAACAACUUUUUCACCUACAACGACAACUGCUGUACCAACAACGACAAAUGCUGCACAAACAACAACUGCUGCACAAACGACAACUGCUGCACCAACAACGACAACUGCUGCACCAACAGCGACAAUAACUGCUGCACCAACAUUGACAACUGUCGCACCAAUAACGACAACUGCUGUACCAACACCAACCACUGCUACACCAAUGACAACUGCUGCACCAACAACUGCUUCACUAACAACGACAACUGCUGCACCAACUACAAUAACUGCUGCACCAACAACGACAACUGCUGCAGGAACAACAACAACAACUACUGCACUAACAACAACAACUACUGCAUCAACCACAACUGCUGCACCUACAACGACAAUCUGUUGCACCUACAGCAACAACUGCUGCAUCAACAACGACAACUGCAGCACCAACGACAAUAACUGCUGCACCAACAUUGACAACUAUUGCACCAACGACAUCUGCUGCACAAACGACAACUGCAGCUCCAACAACAACAGGCCUGGGUCCACCAACCACAACAGCAGCUCCAACAACCACAACAGCGGCUCCAACAACCACAGGCCCGGAUCAACCAACCACAACAGCAGCUCCGACAACCACAACAGCUGCUCCAACAACCACAACAGCAGUUCCAACUACCACAACAGUUCCAGCUACCACAACAGCAGCUCCAACAACUUCAACAGUGGCACCAACAACCAUAACAGCGGCUCCAACAACCAUAACAGUGGCAACAACACCGACAACUGCUGGAUCACCGACAACUGCUGCACAAACGACAACUGCUGCACCAACCACGACAACUGCUGCACCAACGACAACUGCUGCACAAACGACAACUGCUGCACCAACAACUGCUUCACUAACUACGACAACUGCUGCACCAACGACAACAACUGCUGCACCAACAACGACAACUGCUGCACCAACAACGACAUUUGUAGCACCAACAACAACAACUGCUGCACCAACGACAACUGCUGCACCAACAACAACAACUUCUGCACCAACAACAACUACUGCACAAACAACAACUACUGCAUCAACCACAACUGCUGCACCUACAACAACAACUUUUUCACCUACAACAACAACUGCUGUACCAACAACGACAAUUGCUGCACCAACAACGGCAACUGCUGCACCAACGACAACAACUUCUGCACAAACAACGACAACUGCUGCACCAACGACAACAGCUGCUGCACCAACGACAACAACUGCUGCACCAACAACGAAAACUGCUGCACCAACAACGAAAACUGCUGCACCAACAACAACUACUGCACCAACAACAACAACCGCGGCUCAAACAACUACAAUAGCGGCUCCAAAAACCACAACAGCAGCUUCAACAACCAUAACAUUGGUUCCAACAACCACAACAGCGGCUCCAAAAACCACAGCUGCAGCUCUAAAAACCACAACAUUAGUUCCGACAACCACAACCCCGGGUCCAACAAACACAACCCCAGUUCCAACAACAAAAACAACAGCUCCAACAACCACAACCCUGGCUCCAACAACCACAACCCCGGCUCCAACAACCACUGUGACGAUAAUUCCUCCCGUCUUUUCAACCAUGGCGUAUUUACAAGUCAAGAUGAUUACCUUUGGUGAACUCAGCAACGACACCAUUUCGGGACUUCUUCAAGAGUUCUUCAGAAAUCAGCUCCCGACUGGAACAGCUCAUCUGCUCUCAGUGAAAAGAAUCCAAAGAAUUGCAAUUUAUUAAUAUUAGUUUGGGGUAUUGUGUUUAUAAAUGCACUUAACUUGUGGUUAAAAAAUAUCGAGAAACAUAUUGCUUACACAUUUACAUCAAAAAUGUAUUCCACGGAAACACACAACUGUAUAUAACAAUUGAAAUAUUCAGAAUUGAAACGUAAAUCCAAGCAUUUAUCAAAUAGUCAAAUAGUAUCGUCAAAAGACAAAUCAAUGGUCUUGUGAAAUCCUAAUUUCCUAAUAUUUUCUCAGUAAAUCAGUAACUAACUUUAUUAUUGUGAAUGUUUUUUAAUCAAUCUUUCAAAACAUGAUGCUGAUUUUCUUUCGGUUGUCUUUUAUUCUGUUUACAGAUCCAUGUUUUCACAUGACUUGGAUACAGUAAUAUUACUAUAAUUUGUAUUAAAUAAAGUGUUGACCAUCCGGACAUUUAAAUGAUCAUAAAUGCUUUGUCUACCAUAAAAGGUAAAUCACUCAGAGCAACCUUAAUUUAUGGUGUGUACAUUAUAUGCUAUUUUUGGCCAUCAAAGAUCCUCAUGAAACUGUACUGAAUUUAUUGUCUACGAUAAAGCCUUGCUAUUGGUGAA
ensembl:lncRNA